rnacentral:rRNA from 1 species
GAUGAACGCUAGCGACAGGCCUAACACAUGCAAGUCGAGGGGCAGCACAUGAGUAGCAAUACGAUGGUGGCGACCGGCGCACGGGUGAGUAACACGUAUGCAACCUGCCUGUAAGCGGGGGAUAACCCGGAGAAAUUCGGACUAAUACCGCAUAAUACUGUGAAUUUGCAUGAAUUUACAGUUAAAUAUUUAUAGCUUACAGAUGGGCAUGCGUAUGAUUAGAUAGUUGGUAGGGUAACGGCCUACCAAGUCAACGAUCAUUAGGGGUUCUGAGAGGAAGGUCCCCCACACUGGUACUGAGACACGGACCAGACUCCUACGGGAGGCAGCAGUGAGGAAUAUUGGUCAAUGGGCGAGAGCCUGAACCAGCCAAGUCGCGUGAAGGAAGACGGUUCUAUGAAUUGUAAACUUCUUUUGUAGAGGAAUAAAGUGGGUUACGUGUAGCCUUUUGUAUGUACUUUACGAAUAAGGAUCGGCUAACUCCGUGCCAGCAGCCGC